AUAUAUUAAAAAUUAAAUUUAAAAAUUAGUUAUAUAUAAUUUAGUAUACAAAAAUUCACAUACAAAUAAAAAUAUAAAUGUAACAAAUUUAAAUAUAUUAUCCGCGCGUAGCGCGGAGAAAGGAUCUAGUAAUAUAUAAUCUCUCUUCUUAAAAAAAUCUAAGAUGUUUUUGGAUGAAAUCAUAAAUAUUUAGGAAGUUGCUUUUACUUAAAAAGUAUCAAUAAAAAUAUUGAUUAAAAUCAAUCUGACUAAUUAUAAAAUAAACUAUAAAAUGUAACUGGUUACACAAUUUUUAAUAAAAUUAAAAGUUAUUUAAGAAAUUAUAAAUAUUUUAUAUUUUGAAACAUCAAAAAUUCAUUUAAACAUCUUACAUUAUAAAAUAGAGUGAGUAUUAUUUAGUAUACAAAUUCAAACCUCAUUGAAAAAUGUUUAAAUUACAUUGUUUGAAUCUCACAUAGAUGAUAUACGGCCGAAAAACCUCAUAUUGACAACAGCUAUAUUAAAAAUACAUAUCAACGACAUGAAUCUAACGAGUCAACACAAUAAAGUUGUAUAUAGAAGACUUAAAAAUGGCAAAGGAAAUAGACGAAAUAAGAGGCUUUGAAUGGUGAUUGUCGUCCCGCCCCGUCCCGCCCCGUCCCGCAGUUAACACACAGUUGAACCGCUUGUCCCGCACCACUCAAAUCGCAGUCACCAUUCGAAGCUAUUUAGUAAGUUCUUCUUCGCUUUUAUAUAUAUGGAUUAUCAGGUUUAAACCGUAUCAACGAUAUGACUUCAGAUGAAGUGACUACAAACUUAAUACAGUAUUGAACAAUUUCUUUAAUAAUGAAAUUUUAAAAUAUUGUGUUCCAAAUAGGUUGUAUAUAUCAGCUAUUGUCCAUAUGCAUGCGAUAGAAAUCUUGUCCCUCGAUGCCGCCAGUAGUCGUGCCAUCGGCGUUAUGUACGUUCUGACAUCACCAAACUCAUUCAAAAGCCAUAAAAUAUUUACGUUAUGGCCUAUGGUCCUACGGAUACCAUAUAAUAUUAUGUGCAUACGUUGAGACUUACGCUAGAGAUUACGUGUAUUUAAGUUACUAUUUACAUUUAUAUGGGUUCGAGUUCCUAGGUUGUGUCAUGGAUAAACGUCCAUAAAUUGAUACAUAAUUCACCGAUACAUGUUAAAAUCAUGCAAGGUAUGACCGUAACUGCAAUAGCAGAUCCUGCCUUGUCGCAUAUGUUGUAAACACAUGGUCCAUCGUUCCUACUGUUUAGUUUAUUAGUUACAUAGGAAUUUGUCUUGUUUCAAAAAAAAAAACAAAAGAAAAAGGAAUUUGUCUAUAUUCCUCACGAAGUGCCGAAUAAUUACAGUGAUAUGCUAAAAAAGUUCACGAUACAAACCUACAAAUACUAAAAGAAAACCUCCAAAUAUUAGAUCAAUAAGUUCAUAUACAUUUUGAAAUCAUUUGAUUAUUUUCUUUAAGAAAAAAUGACAUAUAACGAAAAAUGGGAAUAAAAAUAUGAUAGAAUAGAAUUAACAUUUACCCCCGAAAAAUGAACAAAGAAAAGAGAUUAGGGUUUAGAGAGUGGGGGUGGUUUCCCGUGGCCAUGCAAAUGUGUCAGCUUCGUGUCACAGUCUUUGAUGGACACCGACACACGAAACUCAUGUGAACUGUUCUUUCUCUUUAUUUCUUUUCUCAUUGUUUUCUUUUUCACUUUCUCUUCUGUUCUCGAGAAAAUCAACCAAAAUAGACAAAGUCUGAAAGGCAUAUAACAUUGUUUUAACACAAAAACAUUAAUGUUUCGGUUUCCUCUAAAAAAAAUGGGCAAAAGGACAAGGAUAUUCAUUAAACAGAACUUUAGAAAAAUACUAAAAUAAAAAUAUGUUGAACUAGUUUUUCCAACCAUUUAUCGUACGAAUUUGACUAGGAAAAAUGAUUCAUCACCAUCAUCCGAUUUUUUUCCCCCAUGUAAUUAUAUAUACAUUUUCACUCUUAUGAAAUAAAAAAACUUAUGUCUUCGUUUAAUACAUUUCUUUGAAGAUCACAAUGACUUUUAAAUUUAAUCGUUUUGAAAAGUUGGCCGAGUAUUUGAUAAAAAAAAGAAAAAAAAAAGUUGGCCGAGUAUUACUUGAACUGAAAGACCGUUUGAUACGACAUACCUGGCACGACUAACAAUAAUUUGACAAAUCAAGUACCAACUAUACAUUUAUACUAUUUGAUUGAUUUGCUUUCUUCGUCAAAUUGACUGAUUUAACUCAAUGGACCGUUUUGGUAACGUAUAUUAAAAGCUGAACCUAGUAAGACUUUGUUCAAGAGCGUGUUCUCUUUAGAUGUAAUGAUAUUAGUUGUCCUUUGAUGGUGCUUAACUUUAUUCGUGCAAUAACCGGAUGAUCAGACAGAGGCAUUGAAUGAUUCCUACUUUCCCGGUUCAGUUACUUUCGGUGUAGAGAUAAUUGAAAAAGGAGAAGUUGUUGGUAACAUAUAUUUUUUUUUCUCUGGACCAAUUCUUGUUUCCAAGAGGGCUUAAAGUAUCGAGGCCACGACCUGUCACAUACAACACAAUCUUAUACUAUAAAGAAGAGCUUCACUCUCUUCUCCUCUUGCCACGUCAUCAAAUAGAGGGAGGAGAGAGUGACACGUGUCUACUCUAACCAAAACGCAGUGGUUCAUUAAACGUCGUAAUGAGUUUCGUAUGUAAACGCAAAUCUGUCAUUAUGGGCUUUAAUAUUGUAAAGAGUCUGGGCCCGGCGCGGAGGAGACGCUCUAACCCUAAUACGCUGCAGCGAAGACACGAGGUAUGUCACGCCGGCGACGUUUGCGAUUUUCUCACCAUCUGAAACGGUUUGAGUAAAGGCUUCGUGAUUACUUCCAUUGAUUCGCUCUCCCACUCCGUCUUCUUCAAUGCUUUUCGAUCUGAGAUGCUGUGUUUCAGUAUAAAUACAUAUGCCUCGGUGGUUCUGUGGUGAUACUCUAUGCCCGUGGUGGAGGUUUAUUGGUCUGUUCUGGUAUCUCUCUAUGAAAUUGGAAGCUCGAGCUGCUUCUCGCCUCUCGGUGGUGGUUUUGUGCUACCGCAAGUUUAUUGCGGCGAGUAACCCUUGAAGGUGGCUUCUUUGUUUGUUUCUUUAAGGGUUUUUGGUAGCUGGUUUACUCGCUGGACUUUGCCUCAUCAGGCCAGGACUGCAAAUCUUCAACGGGUCAGAAGAUUGUGAACUGAACCUGAUCAACAAAAGCCAAGCUAAUCACAUGAGAUCUUUUGGUCAGGGUCAACAGCUAUGGCAAGUGGAAUGUUUUUGCUUAUAAUUCCAUCAUAUAUUUUUAAAUUUAAACUUCAGAUUGGAGACGACCUAAAACUAUAAAUGGAACUGUUGGUUUUGUCUUAUCCUUGCAGGCUUGGAUUGCAAACUUUUAAAAGAAUGUUGUUCAAGCAGAUGUGAAAUAGAAGUAUUCAGACAUUUGGAGUUGUGUAGGAAGCAUGUAGCUCACGAUUUGUCUGUCACUUUUAAAGAUUUGGUGCAGUGCUCAUGAAUAUGUAGAACCUAAUGUGGUAGUUUAGAGAGGAUUCGAAAGCUUGCUUGAAAAAGGUAUUUUCCAGUUUCUUAGUUUAAUGCUCAAAGCUUGACCGUCUGUUGAAAAUCUACAAACCCGUACAAUACUCUCGCUAACAUCCUUGCGCAUUUUAAUAUGUCAAAGAAAAUUGAAACCAUAAACCGAGGAACCUUAUGGUUUUAUAUGUUGAAAAAGUAACGUAACUCCUCGGUAUGAAGAUGUGUAUAACUUUCUCUGUUUU